AGCCUUAUAGUCAAUAAUGAUAUAAAAUUGCAAAUUUUAAGGGGUAAUAUAAAUAUAUGCUAAGGCUU
rnacentral:tRNA from 1 species